UUUCGCAAUGCCCGAAAGGGUGACGAAGCGACGCCGCGUGGGUGAGGAAGGCCUUCGGGUUGUAAAGCCCUGUCAGGAGUUAAGAAAUGUAAGUGUGCUAAUAUCGCAUUUACUUGACGAAGGCUCCAAAGGAAGUCACGGCUAACUCUGUGCCAGCAGCCGCGGUAAUACAGAGGUGGCAAGCGUUGUUCGGAACUAUUGGGCGUAAAGAGCACGUAGGUGGGUUUGUAAGUCAGAUGUGAAAGCCUUCUGUUCAACAGAAGAAUUGCAUCUGAAACUGCGAGUCUUGAGUGUAGGAGGGGAGAAUGGAACUUCUGGUGGAGCGGUGAAAUGCGUAGAUAUCAGAAGGAACGCCGGCGGCGAAAGCGAUUCUCUGGCCUAUUACUGACACUCAGUGUGCGAAAGCUAGGGGAGCAAACGGGAUUAGAUACCCCGGUAGUCCUAGCCGUAAACGAUGGGCACUAAGUAGAGGGGUUUU
rnacentral:rRNA from 1 species